rnacentral:rRNA from 1 species
GACGAACGCUGGCGGCGUGCUUAACACAUGCAAGUCGAACGGAAAGGCCCUGCUUUUGUGGUGUGCUCGAGUGGCGAACGGGUGAGUAACACGUGAGUAACCUGCCCUUGACUUUGGGAUAACUUCAGGAAACUGGGGCUAAUACCGUAUAGGAUCUCCUGCUGCAUGGUGGGGGUUGGAUAUUUUCGGCGGUUGGGGAUGGACUCGCGGCUUAUCAGCUUGUUGGUGGGGUAGUGGCUUACCAAGGCUUUGACGGGUAGCCGGCCUGUGUGGGUGACCGGCCACAUUGGGACUGAGAGACGGCCCAGACUCCUACGGGAGGCAGCAGUGGGGAAUAUUGCACAAUGGGCGGAAGCCUGAUGCAGCAGCGCCGCGUGCGGGAUGACGGCCUUCGGGUUGUAAACCGCUUUAGCCUGUGACGAAGCGUGAGUGACGGUAAUGGGUAAAGAAGCACCGGCUAACUACGUG